rnacentral:rRNA from 1 species
UACGGGGGGAGCAAGCGUUGUUCGGAUUUACUGGGCGUAAAGGGCGUGUAGGCGGCCAGCGCAAGUCAGUUGUGAAAUCUCCGGGCUUAACUCGGAACGGUCAACUGAUACUGCGCGGCUAGAGUGCAGAAGGGGCAACUGGAAUUCUCGGUGUAGCGGUGAAAUGCGUAGAUAUCGAGAGGAACACCUGCGGCGAAGGCGGGUUGCUGGGCUGACACUGACGCUGAUGCGCGAAAGCCAGGGGAGCGAACGGG